rnacentral:rRNA from 1 species
AUUGAACGCUGGCGGCAGGCUUAACACAUGCAAGUCGAGCGGAGAGAGGUAGCUUGCUACUGAUCUUAGCGGCGGACGGGUGAGUAAUGCUCAGGAAUCUGCCUGUUAGUGGGGGAUAACUCGGGGAAACUCGGGCUAAUACCGCAUACGUCCUACGGGAAAAAGUGGGGGAUCUUCGUACCUCACGCUAACAGAUGAGCCUAGGUCGGAUUAGCUAGUAGUUGAGGUAAUGUCUCACCUAGGCGACGAUCCGUAACUGGUCUGAGAGGAUGAUCAGUCACACUGGAACUGAGACACGGUCAAGACUCCUACGGGAGGCAGCAGUGGGGAAUAUUGGACAAUGGGCGAAAGCCUGAUCCAGCCAUGCCGCGUGUGUGAAGAAGGUCUUCGGAUUGUAAAGCACUUUAAGUUGGGAGGAAGGGUAUUCACCUAAUACGUGGGUACUUUGACGUUACCAACAGAAUAAGCACCGGCUAACUCUGUGCCAGCAGCCGCCGUAAGAC